rnacentral:misc_RNA from 1 species
AAGUCGUAACAAGGUAACCGUAGGUGAACCUGCGGUUGGAUCAUUAGUGGUUUUUUGGCAGCGCUGUUGUAGUGUAUGGUGGAGGUGUUGGGUUUUGGUUUGGGUUUGUUGUUGGUUGUGCUGUGUUGCCUGGCCUUGGUCUUGGCACAGCAACGGACGACGGCACACUCGGACCAGACCCAACAGACCUCGCCAGAUAGACGUCUUUGCUUGCUUUGAUGAAACCAAAUCAAAAACAACUUUUGACAACGGAUCUCUUGGCUCUC